AAAGAAUAUAGACUUUCACUCUCACAAUUCACUCUCAUACACAGCAAGAUCCACGUAAUGGUAACGAUAAACACACAUAGAGACUCUCACAUAAAAGGCGGCCUCACUAUUCCAUAGACAUCACAAAAACUUUAGACACACAAUACACAUAUAUAGGUCACCGAAAACGUGUACAUACAUACUCACAGAUCGGGAACUCACCAUACACACACCUAAUGGGAUAGAGAAUCGAAAGAAAUUGGUGAACAGAAAAGAAAAACCAGAGAAAAAGGCGAGAGAGGGAUUUUUCCAACGAGUUCUCACCGGAAAACAUCACAACUGUCCAUUUUAUCCAAUAUUCAUCAUUGUCAAGCUCAUCGGAGCUCCGGCAAAGUAAAAAGUUAAACCCAGCUCUACUCCGACCCAAACUCACACCGAUAGCCACUUCCUUCUCAUUUUUUGGCUAAAAUCUCAUCGAAAAUAGCAAAGUUGACGACUGAAUCAACAAAAUCCGACCCAAUUCAGUCGGUUUUUGAUGAAAUCUCAUCGAAAAAUGAUCAAAAAUAGAAACGGGCCAGUUGGGUGGAUUGAUUAUAUCAUAUUUUUGGGUUUGUUCGUGUUGUGGGUUUGUUGGUUGAGGUUCGAACUGAGUUUUUUGAAUGGGGUUCUAUCUUUCAAUAGAGAGCUUGGUAUAUUAAAUCUGUUAAUUGAGGUCCAAUUCUUUAACUCUAUCUCUUUCUAUUUCAUCUUAAUAUGAUAUGGUUGGUGAUAUAUUCUGAUAGUGUGUUUGAGCAAUAUUGAUUGUCGUGGUUGAUAUUAUUGAUUGAUUCAUUUAAAUGGAGUAAUUGAAGGAUUUGAAUUCAUUUAGGAUAAAUUUUAACUUGGUGAAAGGUGGAAUUGAAAAAUUGAUAAAGUGAAUAUUGAUUAUAUUGAUUCAGUGAUGUUUGGUUAAUUCGGAAUAAGUGUUGAUGUUGUUAAACGUAAUAUUAUAAUGAUAGAUCAAGCCGGGUAGGCAAACGGUAGACUCGGAUAGGCAAAACUUAGGGAUUGUGGAUUGUUGAGUGUUUGGAAUAUUUGUUGAAUGAUUCUAUUUUUCUCAUAUUUGAAAAAUGUAUUCAUUUAGCCGGGAAUUGCCCUGAGGUCAUUUGUAUUUAUUCACCGGAGAAUGUCCCGAAGAAUCUUGUAUGCGAAGGAUGUUCAUGAUCAAGGCCCGAGUCAUCGGGUAGAGCAUAGUGUAGGAUUAGUAUAGGUUAGUGUAGGUUUAUUUCAGUACAUUUUAUUUUGGACUAUAAUAAUUGGACUAGACACUAUUUUUCGAACUUAUUUUGUUUGGUGUGGUUGUUUGUUUGUUUUGUAUGUUUUAUGUGGUUUAUUCAUUUCAUAGUGUCAUACUAGCCGAUACACUCCACGAAGCGACCAUGGUCAAACCACGGAAUCGAUGGGUGCCUAAAACCUUCCCUUCAGUCAAAAGAAUUCCUUAAUCAAAAUCUCUGUUCGUGGAUCAGUUUUUAAAGAGUCAAAUUAUUUUGAAAAAGAAUUUCCAAAGGUGACUUGGCACAAGAUGCAACAAUUAGUACGUAGGGAUGCAUAACCCGAGUUAUUUUUUUUGCAAUAAGUUUCGUAGUAUAUGUGUGUACAAGACCUCUAGUUGAGUCACUCUUAUUUUAGGAGGGGGAGACGUCAGGUGUAUAGAGUGAGUGGAAAACUCUCGUAGCCACUAUCGACCAUACGCUCCCCUGAACAACCUUGUUAGUGGACCCCAACCUAGGUCAGCCUUUAGGUUAUGCUUAUUUGCAUCAUAUUGAGACCUAGCGGGACCCACUUUGUCCUUUGUAGGAGACUCACCCCUAAAGCAUCCCUACGUACUAAUUGUUGCAUCUUUGAGGGUAAUAGGGUCAUUUGACGGAUUGUUUUAGGGAAAAACAUCUGCCAGAAUUAAAGAAAAAUGUGUAGGCAACGAAAAGUUCGGAAAAAAAGAAAAAGAAAAAAUGAGUCAAGAAAAAAAAAGAGUUUUUUAGUUUUUUAGUGUUCUUUAUGACUUUUAUUUUUCAGAAUUCAAUUUUUUUUUACCUAUUGCACUCAUUUCUCAAAAACAAAAACGUCAAAAAGAUUUUCCUUUCGUUCCCUUAGCAUGCAUUUAUAGUUCGAAAAUUAAAAAAAAGAAAUUAAUAGGACCUUUUUAUAAAACAAAAUUCAAUAAAAAGAUGGUAGAAGUCUUGUACAUUUCUUAUAACGAAAGUAUCAAAAAGAUUUUCUUAUAACGAAAGUAUCAAAAAGAUUUUCCUUUCAUAAUUAUUGGUGUCUGUUUUAUGUGAAGUGUCAAAUUAAAAAUCCAAAAAAAGAUUUUAUUGACAUUUUUCAUCGUCUUAUUUGGUCGUGUCUCUUAAGUCAAUGUUUAGUUUGUUUAAUCUUUAAUUGUACAAUCUAGACGAACUACACACACCUGAUUCUCCCUUCUCGAGAGUGAAAUAUGUAGGCAGCCCUUCCAGGGUUUGGUGAUCUUAUUUAAAAAAUCUAAAAAGAUUUUAUUCUCUUCAUUUAGAGUAGGUGUUUCAUAUAUAUCUUUAAAAAAAAACUACAAAAUGAUUUUUUUUAAUAGUUUCAAGUUUCAUUGUCAUAUGAAAUUCAAAAUCGAAAACCUAAAAAAUGAUUUUUUUUUUUGGUAAUCAUAGAUUUCAUUUUGUAUCGGAUUUUAAAGCUGAAAAAUUCAAAAAGAUUUUUGUCAAUUCUUUUGACAAUUUGUUAUUUUCUUUUCUUCUUAAAGUUUAAGAAAAAGCAAAAAAAGAAAUAGAGUUGAUUGGUCAUUUUGUGGCCAAACUUCACGAACUAUGCACACAUGAUUCUCCUCUUUCGGGAGUGAAAAACGUAGGUGCCCUUUUUGGGUUCGGUGAUCUUUUCAAGAAAAAUAGAAAAAGAUUUUGAGAAAGUGUUGAACUCUUACACAUUUGUUAUCUCUUGUUCAGUUAGUUUAAGGUGGUUUGUUUGUGGCAUUCUGGUGGGUCUUCCAUAUCACACCAAAUCUAAGAAAGGUUUAGCUGUGUCCAACAAGGAUAUAGAGAGUGACCUCAUGGAUCAAACAAAGAGUCUGGAAAAUGAGAGUCUAAAGGAAGAGAAUUUGAGACUAAGACAAUUGUAUCGAUCUUGGGCCAGUGGGCUGCCUCCUCCUCUAUUCCCCACUAUUGACCCUACAAAUAUCUUGAGUUUUCCAUCAUAAUUGCAAAGUCAGGUUCCUAUUGUUGUUGACACACCACAACAUGCUUCAAAAUUCAUUCAACGUCAGCUGCAUCCCAAUACUUCCACCAUUCCUUCUCUAGCUCCUCAGUAUAAGCCUACUACAUUCACAACACCACAUACCAUCUGUGAUUUUACUGCUCAACCCUCUACUGAGGCUUCCACACUGGCUAUCUGCCCAACGGUUGUGAUUUCUCAUGUCGCUAGUGAACCCAUGUUUAAUACUCUUGAUGAUCAUUGCUAUACUCCUGAGCCUACUUUUAAGUUAACUGUACCACCAAAAUUUUUUACCAAGAAGUCUGACAUGGCAGAAGAGAAAGAGAAAAUGGUUGCAAAAAUGAAGGAUGCAGAAAAUGCUAUAAAAAGUUCCCUAGGACUCGCGGGUAUAGAAGACGUUUUGUAUAAAGACUGGGCAUGUCUUCAAGUGUCAACCUUCCUCAAAGCUUUGAGAUAUUGAAAUUUGAGGAACAUGAUGGACAUGAGGAUUAAGGGAAAUAUUUGGGAUGAUGCUCUAAUCAAUUAAGGAAAACUGAAGGGAAGAAGAAGAAAAACAUACCUAUUGUCUUGCCAGGGCCAAAGCAGAGCUUGAGAGGUCCAACUCACCAAUACUGUCAGCCUCAAUCCCGAGCUUACAUAUUAGAUCCACAUACUCACCUACAACAAGGUUCCUCAUUCCAAAAUCCUAGAUAUUUUAUUCCACUUCCUCAAUAUCCUUUGAACAAUGCACAAUUGUAUACUCGUUCGUCAUCUUAUUCAUAAUGGAAAACACCGAUCCCUAAACAUCAUCCGUGGCCCCUACAUAUUUACCAAGGUACUCUAAGUCCAAGUUUUAACCAAGGCCAAAGUUUGCAAAGAGGAGAAAGGAAAAGGAUAAUUUCACUCCUAUUGGGGAAUCCUAUGCCAGUUUGUUCCAGAGAUUGAGACAAUAGGGCAUAAUUACUCCCCUCCUUGGGUAUACACCUGACCUAUAUUUAAGAAUUUUUGACCCUAAUGUAUGGUGUGCAUAACAUUCUGAUGUUCAGGGUCACGGUAUUAAAGAUUGUCGUACUUUAAAAAGAGAAAUAGAAAAGAUGAUUCAAGAAAAGGUGAUUAUAGUGCAAAACGUUGACACCUUGAGCAUCACACAGAAUCCUUCACAAACACAUGGUGAUGCAUAAUACAUGGGAAUCAAUGAGUUGAGCAUGAGGAUCCAUAACUUAUUUGUUUAGGGAAAUGUAUUUGAUGGUGAUGAAAGCUCUAGUUAGGAUGUGUAAAUCAGUGGCUAAAUGUCAAGCUUCACAGUUGGGAAGACACUCCUCUCCUUACUAGGAAGGGGUUUUGGUAGCUAGUCUUGUUUUCCUUUUUAUUUUUUGAAUUAUUUCAAGGUUGUAAUUCAGAAUCUAUCUUAUUUUAUGUCUUUGUCGUUUAUGUUUAAACCCUUCUAUCUUUUAUUUCAGCAAAAUGUAGCAUCCCUUUUGACUUUUGCCGUAUUUUAAGUUGUCUGUCUUCUUUACACAAUAUAUUUAUGUUGAUUUUAGUGAUACGACAUGCUUGCAAAAUUUUUAGCCAUAUCUUAAAAUCCAUUUUAAUCAUGAAACAUUGAAUCAGAGGGUUGAAGUUAGAAAAAAAAAGCAUCUGAGAAAAUAGAUAGAGUGUUGAGGCAUUUGGUGAUAAAGUUGAAGCCUUCUUUAAAAAUCAAGGAAAUUAUUUUGAGAAUCAUAAGAAUAACUUGGUCAUCAAUUGAAAGGCAUAUCUCAAUUAGGUCAAAUAGUGAUUGUGCGAUCCUACGUCAAAAGGGACAGAAAGAAAAUCAGCUCCACGAAAUCAAGAGUCAUUCAGCAUGGGGAAUGUACAACAAAAGUGGAGUUGUAUGUUGAACAAAGUGCAAGAUUAGUGAUGCACAAAUUCAGUUAAAGUUAGUGUUGUAAAAAUGUCACGAAUGAUCUCCAUCUUUCACUUUCACAUUAAAUGAUAUGUACUUACAUUUUCAAUGAUUGAUAUAACAGAGACAUUUUAUUCUGCUAUCCAAAUAUUGUGUGAUCCUUUGUAAACCCCAUUUGUGCGCGGAUUUAAUAGAUUUAGUAGGUUUCUAGUGAAUCUAUUUUUAUUAGUGCGUGGAUAUUUUUUAAAUUUUGUUUCAAUAUCUUUUAAUAAUUUACUUUUUUUGUAAGCUAUAUUCAUUAAUUAUUUUAUCCUGUAGUAAUUGUAGAGUUAUAAAUUUCUGUAUAAUAAUUUAUCCUAUCUGUGCUAUAAUGUAUAUCUAAUUCUAGGUUUUCAAUGUUAUUUAUUAUCUUGUGUUGUUCUUCUCGUAGUGAAUUUUUUAAACUAUAUAAACUAUC
rnacentral:lncRNA from 1 species